ACGAGGACAGAAGCGUUUGAAGGGGUGAAGCUGCUUUGAAACGAAACCGGCCGUGAAUAAACGAUCGGGUUGCAUGAACAGGACAGACAGGUUCUCGCACGCAUGCAAGGCAGGGUUGUAAAAAGUAUAACGAAUUUAAGACUGUUGACUGGUCUUGAACAGAAAGUGUGAGCUUAGGAAAAUAUAUGUUUUUAAUUGGUCAAGUUCAAAGGGACAUGCGUGCUUGUGGAGGAUGUAGCUGUGGUGCUGUAUGUACUAGGUUGUUGUAAAAAUAAAGAAAAUAUAAAGAAAGGCCAUAUAAAGGAAAGAUCACAGGGACUGCCCAUUAAAAAAAAAAAAAAAAAAAAGCAAGGAGGUGGAUGUAAUAACUUUCAGAUGUGCGCAGGUUGCCUUCAUGCGGGGAAUUUGCAGGGGGAGGGGUAAAAUUGUCGUGACAAUAGAUUGAAAAAUAAAGGGGAACAGAACACCGCCUCAUCAGACUAAAUAAUGACAGCAAGAGACACCAGACAAAUAAAAGCGAUGACAUGAUCGUGGCUAUGUAUGAAGUGGGUAGGAGAGAAAAACACCCAAGCCAACUAAUAAAAGUACUAGACUAGCGGCAGCGCGAGAGAAUCACAGGAGCGAAACGCAGUGCAAACGCGAGCAGUACUGUAGAGAUGGACUGGACAGACCGAACAGGGAAAGGGAGAUUCAAUGGGAGACGUAAGAGUGGAUCGGGAGAGGAAGUUGAGCCACGAAGAAAAAAUGUGAACAGAAAACCCCUUUGAGACAUCAUCUCUGUGUUUACUGCUAAUGGCUUUGGAUGCAAAUGCGCCUAUCGGCCUAUCGGGGAAAUUCAUUGGGACCAUCAGAAUGUCAGCACUGGAAGCUGAUUGGUGAGAUACUGGUGGGGAAAUGCAGCGUGGCUCCUGACUAGCGUGUGCCACUGGUAGCUUUGUUAAUAACAGCACGACCGGUAAUGUGACAGAUUUGGCCGCUAAUGGUGACCAUCAUCCACCAUAUUCCCAAAUAUGCAAAAAUGGACAAACCAGAUCUCCUGUACAGGCUGUAAUAUCAUACAAAUAUGUCAUCCUUUAUUAAUCUAACCAUGUAUAAUAAAAUAAAGUGGCACCACCAA